CCUACGGGAGGCUGCAGUGAGGAAUAUUGGUCAAUGGGCGCGAGCCUGAACCAGCCAAGUAGCGUGAAGGAUGACUGCCCUACGGGUUGUAAACUUCUUUUAUAAAGGAACAAAGUGAGGCACGUGUGCCUUUUUGUAUGUACUUUAUGAAUAAGGAUCGGCUAACUCCGUGCCAGCAGCCGCGGUAAUACGGAGGUUCCGAGCGUUAUCCGGAUUUAUUGGGUUUAAAGGGAGCGUAGAUGGGUUGUUACGUCAGUUGUGAAAGUUUGGGGCUCAACCGUAAAAUUGCAAUUGAUACUGGCAGCCUUGAGUACAGUUGAGGUAGGCGGAAUUCGUGGUGUAGCGGUGAAAUGCUUAGAUAUCACGAAGAACUCCGAUUGCGAAGGCAGCUUACUAAACUGCCACUGACAUUGAUGCACGAAAGUGUGGGUAUCGAACAGGAUUAGAUACCCCUGUAGUC
rnacentral:rRNA from 1 species